rnacentral:rRNA from 1 species
GUACGUGAAACCGUUCAGGGGUAAACCUGAGAAAUCCGAAAGAUCGAAUGGGGACAUUCAGCGCGUCUCGCUUGGCGGCGAGCUUAGGUCGUGAGACGGUUGGGCGUUCGCGCUCGGUCGCUCCUGCCGAAGCCGCGACCGCUGGUGAACGCGUGCACUUCUCCCCUAGUAGGACGUCGCGACCCGUUGGGUGCCGGUCUAAGGUCCGCGGUGGAGCCCGCCGGGGUACGGUUCAUCCCGUAUCCUUGCGGACCCGCGGUCGCCCGACCGGCUCGCUCGACGGUAGAACGGUGGCGAAGGGUCGCGCAUGUUCGCGCCCGGCCCGUCGCAAGCGCGACCGUCAGCCCGACUGUCGGACUUCAGUGCCGACACCGGGCACGGUUGGCUGCUGGCGUCGGUGUCCUCGGGCGGGCCCCGAUACACGCCCGUCGGCGACGCUUUAGCUUUGGAUACUUUCAGGACCCGUCUUGAAACACGGACCAAGGAGUCUAGCAUGUGCGCGAGUCAUUGGGACUCUAACUAAACCUAAAGGCGCAAUGAAAGUGAAGGCCGCCUUGCGCGUGCCGAGGGA